CACUCAUUUUGAGGAGUGUAGACAACUUGGCCUGUCUGCAAAGGAGCUCCUCAAACAGCAGCAUAGGUUGGUAGAAAAGGAUGGAAUUAUCUGAAGAAGGACCUCUCUGAUCCAAUGGCAACCUGCCAGCUGCCACUGCCAGGGGCAUCCAGAAGGAGGUCUUUACCAGGGUCCUUUCCACCAGCUUUGUGGCCUGUAUGGGAUUCAGAAAACCCACACUACUUCAUACCACCCCAGAGAAAAAGACUAGUAUGAACGAUUCGGACACCCCAUGGCGUUCUGCGAGUACGUCCAUAUGGCCCCCAUCAAUCUUUCCCUAUAACAGCCCUUCACACUAAUCCACUGCACACUCACUGGAUUGUUGGUGACUGAUGACAGAGUGAUGAAUAGCUCUUCCAGCCUGACGUGGGAGCUGAUUUACUGACUCGUGACUGUUAAGGCCAAAACCUGAUCCAGGAAGGGGGGUGGUCCUGUUCAAGCCGGGGGCCUAAUAUGCCGAGUAACCACUCCUUCUAUUGCACGGUUGAGUGUUGUUUGCUGUGUUUGCACCUUGCACUUUAUCUUUAGUUUUGUGUGUUUGUGUGUAUAUUCUGUAAUUUCACCAACCUUUUGCGUUUGCGAAGAGUGGGUCUUCCUCUUACAUUUUCCUGGUAGACAGUGAACCUGCCCCUGAAUGGGAGUUCUUACUUUAAUAGUGCCCCUUUUUGUAUUUUUGGCUGUAGCUCAUCCUGACAUUGUUUUAUAUGGUUUAUAUUGUCAUUAACACAAUUGUUCCCAUACCUUGUUAUUCGUAAUGUUAAUGUUUAAGUUUUCUUGGUAUAUGUAAUAAAUAUAAUUGUUCUUAACCUUGGAAGUCUCUGCUAUCUCUUUCAUGUUGUAUGAAUGAGUUGGUUAAAUCUUCAUCCCCUGGUCAGUGUUAUCUGUGAGUGCUAGAUCUGCUGGAGCCAGGGUAGAUGGCCCCCCUUCCUUU